UAAUAUAAACAGAAAAAGGAAGCCCCGCCGAAAACAGGACUUCCCGUGCAAGCCGCUUCAAAGGCGGUGGCUUAGAUUACAAAACUACAUU
rnacentral:sRNA from 1 species